GCAAAUAUAGUAUAAGUAAAACAUUAGAUUAUGAAUCUAAAUAUAGAAGUUUAAACCUUCUUAUAUGCC
rnacentral:tRNA from 1 species